AGCGCAGGCGGGAAGACAAGUUGGAAGUGAAAUCCAUGGGCUCAACCCAUGAACUGCUUUCAAAACUGUUUUUCUUGAGUAGUGCAGAGGUAGGCGGAAUUCCCGGUGUAGCGGUGGAAUGCGUAGAUAUCGGGAGGAACACCAGUGGCGAAGGCGGCCUACUGGGCACCAACUGACGCUGAGGCCCGAAAGUGUGGGUAGCAAACA
rnacentral:rRNA from 1 species